CAAUGGAAAUCAAACGGAUGGAUAAUCUCUUCUGCAGCAGUUAAUAGAGAAUCGAAUACGAACUUGAAAUUACUGAACAGUUUUAGUCAAACAGCUAGUGGACGGACUACAUUCUGCCAAAAGCAUACAUUAUAAGCUGAAACUAAUUUGGUCUAGACAAGGAGAGUGAUAUCUCCUUGGUCUAGAUAAGAAGAAUUAAAUACGGCCCGUAUAAUACGGAGCUUCGCUUGAACCGACUGGAUGUGACCUAAACUAUUGUGAUAUUGAGGUUUAGAUUCAUGAUGUAGUUUUGAUAACGAAAAAGCAUCAAUUCAUUACCUAGGAGAUUUAUUCAAAUUUUGUAUAUCAUCUUUCAACAAUGUAAAAUGACAGAGAGUGCAGCAUAUCCAAAGACGGGGCAAUCCAACUCCAACGCAAAGACAAAGCUUCAGUUACUACUACGACAGAUUGAGAAGGCAUCUCGACUGGCUGAAUUUCGAGUUGAUCGAAUCAAGGAUCAACUUCGUCAUGAUCUGAUUGAUUUAAAAGCUAAUAAACUAGCCAUGAAAUCACAUGCAGUUAGCUUCAGGCAUCUCAACUGUAUGGAUGAAAGUCAACAAAGAGAUAUGCUCAAAGUGGUUUCGCAACGAGGUCGUUACUACUAUUCAUUAAAAAGUGAGGUUAAAGUUCACAUUGACAGAAUGAGCUCCUACAAUCCACGCCUUGAACGUGCCAAACGACUUCUUAUUCCUGCAAGACGAGAGUCACUAGAGGCUAUGGAGAGAGGAGUAUUAAAUCUACCCGAUCUAGACGGGAGCCUUGCUAUGAAACGAAACAUGACGAUGCUGGCUGAUUUGAGUUUGGUUGAAGGAGAGCAAAGGGAAUCGAAUACACCAGAAUGUCUUAUAUUUCCAAGAAUAUGAAAAAUAUAAUUAUACCGAGUUAUUCAGAAAGAAUAGGCCUCAAAAUUACCAAACCUUGUCAUGAGUACAGAAAGAUAUCUUGAAAAGAACAUGUUGUCCCAAAUAAUCUGAUACCAUUUUCUGCGGAUCGAAGGAUAGGCCUAUAUACUUACUGCACGUAAUAUAAAAGCCAAUUCAUCAUCAUCAUCAUCAUCAUUAUUAUUAUUAUCAUUAUUAUUAAUAUUAUUUGUGUUUCAUGAAUCCAGAUAUCAAUGCAUGAAUUGCAUUAAAAUGUAUAGCAAAAUAUAAUUUCAACUUAAUUGACCUAAAAAUUGUUUGAUAAAUAUACUUUUUGUCAAUUUUCACGUGCAAUAAAGUUUACUGCAAUUGAUGUAGGAAUAUGGAUCCAUGGACAUCUAGAUAAUUCGUUGCAGUCAUGCAUAUUAUACCAUGUACAAAUGAAGUAGGGGGAAACCUUCUGAAGUAGGUGGGGCGAGAGAAGUAGGGGAAAAACCUACUGAAGUAGGGGGAAACCCCGGUGUAGUGGUCCACCUGCAUUCCCCAUCAGUUAUAUAUGGAGGAGAGACCUGCAGGUCA